rnacentral:ribozyme from 1 species
GCCGCUCGAAACUUUGCAUACCUCUACGUGGUGAGCGGCAGGCAACAUCUACUCCAUAGAUGGCUGAGAUGCAAGG